rnacentral:rRNA from 1 species
UACGUAGGGUCCGAGCGUUGUCCGGAAUUAUUGGGCGUAAAGAGCGUGUAGGCGGCCCGAUUAGUCCGCUGUGAAAGUCCAGGGCUCAACCCUGGAAUGCCGGUGGAUACUGUCGGGCUAGAGUCCGGAAGGGGCGAGUGGAAUUCCUGGUGUAGCGGUGAAAUGCGCAGAUAUCAGGAGGAACACCAAUGGCGAAGGCAGCUCGCUGGGACGUGACUGACGCUGAGACGCGAAAGCGUGGGGAGCAAACAGG